AAGGCAGCAGGCGCGCAAAUUACCCACUCCCGGCACGGGGAGGUAGUGACGAAAAAUAACGAUACGGGACUCAUCCGAGGCCCCGUAAUCGGAAUGAGUACACUCUAAACCCUUUAACGAGGAUCAAUUGGAGGGCAAGUCUGGUGCCAGCAGCCGCGGUAAUUCCAGCUCCAAUAGCGUAUAUUAAAGUUGUUGCGGUUAAAAAGCUCGUAGUCGAAUCUGUGUCUCGCGCCGCCGGUUCAUCGCUCGCGGUGUUUAACUGGCGUGUCGCGGGACGUCCUGCCGGUGGGCUUAGCCUCUCGGGGCGGCCCAACUUGAAAUCCCACCGCGGUGCUCUUCGCUGAGUGUCGAGGUGGGCCGGCACGUUUACUUUGAACAAAUUAGAGUGCUUAAAGCAGGCUAAAACUUCGCCUGAAUACUGUGUGCAUGGAAUAAUGGAAUAGGACCUCGGUUCUAUUUUGUUGGUUUUCGGAACCCCGAGGUAAUGAUUAAUAGGAACGGAUGGGGGCAUUCGUAUUGCGACGUUAGAGGUGAAAUUCUUGGAUCGUCGCAAGACGGACAGAAGCGAAAGCAUUUGCCAAAAACGCUUUCAUUGAUCAAGAACGAAAGUUAGAGGUUCGAAGGCGAUCAGAUACCGCCCUAGUUCUAACCAUAAACGAUGCCAGCUAGCGAUCCGCCGACGUUCCUCCGAUGACUCGGCGGGCAGCUUCCGGGAAACCAAAGCUUUUGGGUUCCGGGGGAAGUAUGGUUGCAAAGCUGAAACUUAAAGGAAUUGACGGAAGGGCACCACCAGGAGUGGAGCCUGCGGCUUAAUUUGACUCAACACGGGAAACCUCACCAGGCCCGGACACCGGAAGGAUUGACAGAUUGAGAGCUCUUUCUUGAUUCGGUGGGUGGUGGUGCAUGGCCGUUCUUAGUUGGUGGAGCGAUUUGUCUGGUUAAUUCCGAUAACGAACGAGACUCUAGCCUGCUAACUAGGCGUAUUUUCGACAUCUCAAAGGCCCGCCGGCCAGGCGUUCUCGCGUCGGGUCGCGCGCGGUUUUUACUGUCGGCGUACUAUCAAUUCUUCUUAGAGGGACAGGCGGCUUCUAGCCGCACGAGAUUGAGCAAUAACAGGUCUGUGAUGCCCUUAGAUGUUCUGGGCCGCACGCGCGCUACACUGAAGGAAUCAGCGUGUCCUCCCUGGCCGAGAGGCCCGGGUAACCCGCUGAACCUCCUUCGUGCUAGGGAUUGGGGCUUGCAAUUGUUCCCCAUGAACGAGGAAUUCCCAGUAAGCGCGAGUCAUAAGCUCGCGUUGAUUACGUCCCUGCCCUUUGUACACACCGCCCGUCGCUACUACCGAUUGAAUGAUUUAGUGAGGUCUUCGGACCGGUACGCGGUGGCGCUUCCGCGUCGCCGAUGUUGCUGGAAGAUGACCAAA
rnacentral:rRNA from 1 species